UACUAUUUGAGGGAUACCGUGUAUAAUGUGAGGGGUGACAAGUUAAUUUCUCGAACACGUUGCACCUAUAAAUUCACUAAACAAAACACACCAUUCGAUUUGUUCAUCGUUGCAGAUCUUCUAUGCAGAAGCUUUCUUCAUUUUUCAAGAAUUUCAAGAUUGGCGACUACAACGAUCACAACGAUUCUACACCAUUUUUCUUCAAUCACAUGCAGAAAAUCGAAGAAUAAAAUAGAAAUUGUGAUUUUACUAUUGGUGAAUCUUAACCUCAGAUUCGUUGGAAAAUCUUUAUCGUUUGAAUCAAGAGGUAGAGAUAGAAGAGAAAUUGCAGAAAGUGGCUAA